CUUAUUGAGAAGAAGUAUGUCUUUAACUCAACUACAGCAAUCAUUGGAAAAUGCAUAAGAUUCAGGCUGCGAUAUUGGUCAUAGAGGUACUAAGGCCAGUCAACAGAAGAUGGGGAGUCCAUUGUCUUACUAUGACCAGCAGAAAAUGUUGGCCAAUGUACAGGAGAAUGGUUAGGCAAUCUUCAAUCCUAGUGUGAGAUACGACUCCAUUAUUUGUCAGCAGGAGUCUAAAGAUUAGGGAUCGAUUGUUGCAAACCAUGUAAAACGGUUUAAGAUGAACCUCUAUCCAGAAUUCUAAAGAGAAGACUCACCGGAAAGCAAGAGUGCUGAGAGUUUUGGUAUAGACUGCUGCAAACCCUAGGAAUGAUGGUCAGGGUUAGAUCUAUUGUAGUGCUAGUGUAGAUCCUGAGACAAGCGGGUGACUUUCAUCUGACAGAAAGAGUGCAAAGUGUUUGAG